rnacentral:lncRNA from 1 species
AAUUUCAAUUUUAAUUGUUAAACUUUAUAAUUUUGGUUGUGGUUCAAUAAGCUAAAUUAAGUCAUGUAAACUUCCUUGUAUGUUAUCUGUUUGAUAAAAUUUCACACUGAAAAUUCUGUUAACUUUCGGUCGCUCUUUAAAUUGCUUUUGUCCGUGUUUAGAUAUGAUCUAUUGCUAAUUUCAGUUAAGGAUAAUAUGUUUAUCCGACUAACUUGAGCUAAAUUAAGAUCAUAUUGCAUUACUGAUUAGAGGACUUCAAGUGAAUUUUGCCUCAAAAUACUCAAUAGUCUAGUUUGUGGAAGUGCUUUUUAAAAUGAUUUUGCUGUAUGCUAAAUAUUAGGCAUCAUAACAUACAGGGCUUUGAACAUCUCAGAAUUUCAUCUGCAUUUCAUCACAUCCAUUAGGGUUGGAAGUGCUUACCGGCUAUUCAUGCCUCUAG